rnacentral:rRNA from 1 species
AUUGAACGCUAGCGGGAUGCUUUACCCAUGCAAGUCGAACGAAUGGCGGACGGGUGCGUAAUCUAUCGGAACGUUCCCCGUAGAGGGGGAUAACUCCUCGAAAGAGUGGCUAAUACCGCAUACUGUUUGCGCGGCCGAGAUCGUGUUAGCUAGUGGGUGGGGUAACGGCUCACCAAGGCAACGCUCCGUAGCUGUUUUGAGAGGACGACCAGCCAAACUGGGACUGAGACACGGCCCAGACUCCUACGGGAGGCAGCAGUGGGGAAUUUUGGACAAUGGGGGAAACCCUGAUCCAGCCAUCCCGCGUGUAUGAGAAGGCCUUCGGGUGGUAAAGUACUUUUGGCAGAGAAGCGGUAUCUGCAGAAUAAGCACCGGCUAACUACGUGCCAGCAGCCGCGGUAAUAC